CCCACUGUCCCUGUCUACUAUCCAG
rnacentral:siRNA from 1 species